GACGAACGCUGGCGGCGUGCUUAACACAUGCAAGUCGAACGAACAGACCCUGCUCUUGCUGCGUGCUCGAUCGCCGAACGCGUGUGUAACACGUGAGUAUCCUCCCCUUGUCUUUCUGAUAUCUUCAGGGAACUGGGGCUCAUAUCGCAUAGGAUCUCCUGCUGCGUGGUGGUGGUUGGAAAGAUUCGGCGGUUGUGGAUGGACUCGCGGCUUCUCAGCUUGUUGGUGUGGUAGUGGCUUACGAAGCCUGUGACGGGUAGCCGGCCUGAGAGGGUGACCGGGCACAUGGGGACUGAGAUACGGCCCAGACUCCUACGGGAGGCAGCAGGGGGGAAUAUGGCACAAUGGGCGGAAGCCUGAUGCAGCAACGCCGCGUGCGGGAUGACGGCCUACGGGGUGUAAACCGCUGUGGAAGGUGACAAAGCGUGAGUGACGGUAAUGGGUAAAGAAGCACCGGCUAACUACGUG
rnacentral:rRNA from 1 species